AACGAACGCUGGCGGCAUGCCUAACACAUGCCAGUCGAACGAGACCUUCGGGUCUAGUGGCGCACGGGUGCUUAACGCGUGGGAACCUGCCCUUAGGUUCGGAAUAACUCACCGAAAGGGGUGCUAAUACCGGUUAAUGUCUUCGGACCAAAGAUUUAUGGCCUUUGGAUGGGCCCGCGUUGGAUUAGCUGGUUGGUAGGGUAAAAGCCUGCCAAGGCGACGAUCCAUAGCUGGUCUGAGAGGAUGAUCAGCCAGACUGGGACUGAGACACGGCCCAGACUCCUACGGGAGGCAGCAGUGGGGAAUAUUGGACAAUGGGCGAAAGCCUGAUCCAGCAAUGCCGCGUGAGUGAUGAAGGCCUUAGGGUUGUAAAGCUCUUUUACCCGGGAUGAUAAUGACAGUACCGGGAGAAUAAGCACCGGCUAACUCCGUG
rnacentral:rRNA from 1 species